UUUUGUAGCUCAGUUGGUUAGAGCACCUGUUUAGUAAGCGGGAGGUCUUGAGUUCAUCUCUUUACAGGA
rnacentral:tRNA from 1 species